rnacentral:lncRNA from 1 species
GGUCUCUCUCUUCAUAUGAUUCCGGAGUCGUUGCAAACCUCCUCUCUUACUCUUUAUCGUCCUCUUUUUGACACCAAGAUCAGUUGGCACAAAACUCCAAGAUCUGUUCAAAUCAGCCCUUUAUUUGCGAAUUGAAGGUCAAAUCUGCAACUUUGCUUUAGCUAUUUGGUUUGCUUUUUCUUGAACUUUAGUUGAUUUGUAGAUCUGGUAUGUUGCUGUUUGUGUUCGAAGAUUGUAUCCUUAUGCUGAAAUUUUUUCUGAGCUUGUUUUGUUUUCUUGUAAUAUUUGCAGAUCUGGUUGGUUGAGUGGAAGACUAGCGUGUUUGCUACCCAUAAAAGUAAAAGUUGACCUGAAUGGAAGAAAUCCCGGAGGAGUUACCGAAAAAUGAUUCUAUUCAAAUUAGGGAGGUAUGGAAUGACAAUCUUGAACGAGAGCUUGCUCUAAUUCGUGAAAUCGUGGAUGACUAUCCUUAUAUUGCGAUGGAUACUGAGUUCC